CAUGCGACGACGCACGUUUUAGUUCAUUUCGACGAAAGCGUCGUUAUUAAGGUUUGCGAGAUAGGCUCCACGUAAUAAUUAUUCCAGACGCCUAUAAUUCACGACGCAGUUAAUCGUAGUUCAAUCAGAACACGUCUGGUCCCGCUUCGACGGUUCAACGGUUAUAUUGGCGCCGGUACAAGGCAGGCUUUUAGGGCUAUCGCGACGAAGGUUUGGAGACUUCAAGGAUGGCUUCAGCGUCGACAGUACUCGUACUUUGUGUCGCCGUCUUUACUGCUUUCUCACUUGCCAUGGUAUGUGAGCAUGUGGACAAGACAAGUCUCUGUGCAGACUUCUGCUCCAACAAGCGCUAUUUCGUCCUCCCGAAGUGCGUCGGGAGCAUCUGCAUGUGCUUCCCCAACAAGACCGGAGCGACGGAUUUCGAACCGCCGCCUAAGCCGGAAUUCGUUUCAACACCUCAUCCGUGAAACUUCCAAUACAUAUCGCACGUCUUCUGUUUGAUUUAUCACGACAGAGAUGUUGAGUAAACAGUCUAAACGCUGCA